rnacentral:misc_RNA from 1 species
GAGAUUGGCCUCACGGCCGUUUUCAUCCACACACACACACCGUGAACCGUUCCCCUGCCUCUCGGGGCUUGGGACCAACCAACCAAACAUUGUCUAAAGAACGUAAACAUCGUAAACAAAACA